rnacentral:rRNA from 1 species
GCAUAUCAAUAAGCGGAGGAAAAGAAACCAACAGGGAUUGCCUCAGUAACGGCGAGUGAAGCGGCAACAGCUCAAAUUUGAAAUCUGGCCCUUUCAGGGUCCGAGUUGUAAUUUGUAGAGGAUGUUUCGGCGAGUGCUCCCGUCUAAGUUCCUUGGAACAGGACGUCAUAGAGGGUGAGAAUCCCGUAUGUGAUGGGUUGCGCGAGCCAUGUGAAACUCCUUCGACGAGUCGAGUUGUUUGGGAAUGCAGCUCUAAAUGGGAGGUAAAUUUCUUCUAAAGCUAAAUACCGGCCAGAGACCGAUAGCGCACAAGUAGAGUGAUCGAAAGAUGAAAAGCACUUUGGAAAGAGAGUUAAAAAGUACGUGAAAUUGUUGAAAGGGAAGCGCUUGCAACCAGACUUGCCCGCAGUUGCUCAACCCGCCUCCUGGCGGGUGCACUCUUCUGCGGUCAGGCCAGCAUCAGUUCGGGCGGCCGGAUAAAGGCGCCGGGAAUGUAGCUCCUCUCGGGGAGUGUUAUAGCCCGGCGUGACAUGCGGCCAGCCUGGACUGAGGAUCUCGCUUCGGCUAGGAUGCUGGCGUAAUGGUUGUAAGCGGCCCGUCUUGAAACACGGACCAAGGAGUCUAACAUCUAUGCGAGUGUUUGGGUGUCAAACCCAUGCGCGUAAUGAAAGUGAACGGAGGUGGGAACGCGCAAGCGUGCACCAUCGACCGAUCCUGAUGUCUUCGGAUGGAUUUGAGUAAGAGCAUAGCUGUUGGGACCCGAAAGAUGGUGAACUAUGCCUGAAUAGGGUGAAGUCAGAGGAAACUCUGAUGGGAGGCUCGCAGCGGUUCUGACGUGCAAAUCGAUCGUCAAAUUUGGGUAUAGGGGCGAAAGACUAAUCGACCAUCU